AGGCCGGUGAGGACGCGGCGGGCGAGCGGGCGAGAGGCUGGACUCGCGGGUUGAGUUGUGCCCCGUGGAGGCCGGCAGGGCCGUGGGCCGGGGAGUGUCGAACACUGGAAGGACACCCCAGAGUGGGCCAUAGGGACCCGCACGGUGUGGGCCUGGAGGUGCCUGGUGGAGGCAUUUUGAGCCGUUUGCCUUUUUAGCAUUUCUUUAAAUUGUAUCUUAAAGGUGGGAAUCAAGUGUUAGGUGUUAAUAUUUUUACUCCACUAAGGGCUAGAAAUACUCCUAAGCCAGUGGGUAGCCUACCAUGGGAAACCCAUGAAAACUGGGGACCAGAAUAUGGCCCAGUACAUUACACACCCGGAUUACAGGCACCUUUUCCGUUUACGCUAUGGCAGCAACCCCUGGCCUAUCAUGUGCCAUUAAUGGAUGUGAAAAACAGAAAUUAGAACAAGGCAUCAUUGAAGGAAAGAUUGUCAAUACAUAGUGUUAAAAAAGGAUGGGCAAAUUUAAAACCCAAGGCCAAAUCUUUAAAGGGUGGUUUUUCUCUCUGGGUUUUUGUUUGUUUGUUUUUGUUUUGUUUCCGUGGGGUAUUUUUGUCUGGGCCACUGUGUAAAUGUUUGAUAACCCUGAGCUGGCAGUGGGUUAGCGUGUUGGUCUUGUGUAGACUGCCUUAUAACAGGCGACACAGAUUUUCUCAGUACCAGAGAGAGUGACAUUUGAGGUAGGGAAGCAUGGAGUAACCUUUACUUGUAGGCCAAAUAUAAUUUAAAUUUUCUACAUCUGCUUGUUGAAAGUUUUGUUUUGUUUUGUUUUUUGAGGUCCUUAAAGGUUUAGGAAGCAC
rnacentral:lncRNA from 1 species